UACGUAGGGCGCAAGCGUUGUCCGGAAUUAUUGGGCGUAAAGAGCUCGUAGGCGGCUUGUCACGUCGGGUGUGAAAGCCCGGGGCUUAACCCCGGGUCUGCAUUCGAUACGGGCAGGCUAGAGUGUGGUAGGGGAGAUCGGAAUUCCUGGUGUAGCGGUGAAAUGCGCAGAUAUCGGGAGGAACACCAGUGGCGAAGGCGGAUCUCUGGGCCAUUACUGACGCUGAGGAGCGAAAGCGUGGGGAGCGAACAGG
rnacentral:rRNA from 1 species